GUUUUGGAAACUUCUGGGUCUGUCAUCUCUUCUGCCCUGCACUAGAGACAAUAGAUUCUGGCCAAGUAAUGAUGAAAGGAGUGCCAGAUAGCGAAUCUGCAAGUUUACACUGAGCAUCAGUUCCCCCCACAACCUCCUCAGAGAGGACCCUUCCAGCCCCUUCUGAUCAUCUGAAGAGACUGUCAGGGCCUUGUGCUGAUGACACUCCCACCCUCUGUCAGCCUCCUCCUCCAGCAGACUACAUGGCACCAGCCACGCUUUCUAUCUGGCCUUCAAGGGUCCCAAGGUCCCACGAAAGAUGCUCCUGCUUCCCUUGUGUGAUUUGUGGCUAAGUGCAAGGCUGUGGUGUUAAACUACCUGGGAUCAAAUUCCAGCUCCACAAAAUAACCACUGGUGUGACUUUGGGUAAG